CUCCUGCUGCUGUUGGGGAGAGGGACUGAAAAUCUCCUCUCCCGGUAACUCCAGCUGCCGCUGGGGAGAGAGACUGGUUGUCUCUUCUCCCUUUACCUCAUACUGCCGCUGAGGAGGGAGACCAACUGUCUCUACUCCCUGUAACUCUUCCUGGUGUUGGGUAGGGGGACAGACCAUCUCCACUUCGAGUGAUGCUUGCUGCUGCUGGGAUG